UACAGAGGGUGCAAGCGUUGUUCGGAAUUAUUGGGCGUAAAGGGCGCGUAGGCGGUUCGGCAAGUCUCUAGUGAAAUCUCUGGGCUCAACUCAGAGUCUGCUGGGGAAACUGCCGGGCUUGAGUGUGGGAGAGGAGAGUGGAAUUCCUGGUGUAGCGGUGAAAUGCGCAGAUAUCAGGAAGAACACCCGUGGCUAAGGCGGCUCUCUAGUACGGUACUGACGCUGAGACGCGAAAGCGUGGGGAGCGAACAGG
rnacentral:rRNA from 1 species